CUGGGAGAGGGCUGGCAUGAAGGGAAAGAAAAGAUGUCCGCAGUGAGACAGAUGCUCUGCGCCAUGUCUUGCAGAGAUCAAUGACAUCAGACAACAUGUGGGAGCGCAAGAGGGCCCUGCAGACCUUCUCCCAGCUGCUGGCUGCUUGUGAAGAGCAUGGAAGAGGCGAUGCCUGCAAGCACUUUGGCUCCUUGGUGGGAUUGCUGGUGCCCCUGAUGUGUGACCCCAUGCCCACAUCCCGCCAGUUGGCCGUCACCUGUCUGAGCUCCCUUCUCCAAAUCCAAGGUGAGUAGAGCAGGCGUGCGCCAGCCCUCUGCUCUCCUCCGCAGCACUACCAGAACCCCACGGGCUGGGCCCGGUUUACAGGAGGGAGAGGCACCAUGCGC
rnacentral:lncRNA from 1 species